CCAUUUCCUUGUUUUAGGCACUGGUUUAGCUGGUCAAAGUGGAUAACUUGUCGGCUGGAUAACUGCAUUGUGUGGUAUUUGAUACAGGAACUGGGAGAGGAAAUCAUCCAGGCUCUUAAGAUCUCGCACCCAGCUCUGGAAAAACAUUAGUGGCUCACCGAGUAGUAGACUGGACAAUUGGAAAUGCCAUACUAGCCAAGAGGAUAUUUUCUGCCCCUUUAUCCUGGCUUGCUUGUAUAUCUUUCAUCAAUCCCGCCAUGGCUUGGUUGAGCAUGAGCUUAAAUUCACUCAAGGAAUC